rnacentral:rRNA from 1 species
GUUUCAUUGGGUAGUAAUGACACUGAAAUUUCUAAUUCUGUUAAUGACCUUUUAGACCUAGAGGCUGAGCGGGCCUUGGAGAUGAUCCGUAAUAUUGCGGCUGUCAAAUCUAUGAGUGAUUCUGAGGUUGAUGCACUCGGGGUGAGGGUGUUAGAUAACUUUUGUGUGGAUCUUAUGCAACCUACUACUGAUGAGGAUGCUCUGCCUGAGUCUAACGAGAUAGUGUUGGCUAGCCCAUCUAAGACUAGUUGUGAGGACCAGUUGCAGAGUCAAACGAUCCCCAAGCGCAAGUGGAAAAGGAAGGUAUACCCGGUUUCCCCAGUGCGCAGGAGUGCUAGGUUACGUACGGCAAAAAAAAUUCCAUGA